rnacentral:rRNA from 1 species
UACUAGAGUAGCACUCGCAUAUCAAUAAGCGGAGGAAAAGAAACUAACAAGGAUUCCCCUAGUAACGGCGAGUGAAGCGGGAAGAGCUCAAAUUUGAAAUCUUAAAGGGUUUCCCUUUACGAAUUGUAGUUUAAAGAAGUGUUUUCUGUUGAGGUUUUGGUAAAAGUUCUUUGGAAUAGGACAUCAUAGAGGGUGAGAAUCCCGUAUUUGACCUUUACUUUCAACUUUGUGAUACACUUUCAAAGAGUCGGAUUGUUUGGGAAUGCAGUCCAAAAUGGGUGGUAAAUUUCAUCUAAAGCUAAAUAUUGGCGAGAGACCGAUAGCGAACAAGUACCGUGAGGGAAAGAUGAAAAGAACUUUGAAAAGAGAGUUAAACAGUACGUGAAAUUGUCAAAAGGGAAGCGUUUGACACCAGUGUUGUUUUUCUGAAAAUCAAUUAAAGAACUGUUUAUGCUAAGUUGUUUAGACUUUAUCAGCUAACUGUUUAGUUUUGAGCUUUUCUUUAAUGCACUUUUCAGUUAACAAGUCAACAUCAAUUUCUUUUGCUGUAAAAAAGCUUGAGGAAGGUGGCUUGAGAUUCGUCUUAAGUGUUUAUAGCCUCUUGCCUAUGCAGUCGGAGAGAUUGAGGUCUGCAGCGUAGAUCCUUCGGGGCUAAAUAGCAUUUGUGCUAAGUUAUAGCAUUUUAUAGACAACUUGUUGACUAUGAUUUGUCUUGUAGCUUACUCGCUUAUGUUAUUUUACCUACGCUUAGGAUGUUGAAGACUCUACAGAGAUA